rnacentral:rRNA from 1 species
UUAAGCGACUAAGCGUACACGGUGGAUGCCCUGGCAGUCAGAGGCGAUGAAGGACGUGCUAAUCUGCGAUAAGCGUCGGUAAGGUGAUAUGAACCGUUAUAACCGGCGAUUUCCGAAUGGGGAAACCCAGUGUGUUUCGACACACUAUCAUUAACUGAAUCCAUAGGUUAAUGAGGCGAACCGGGGGAACUGAAACAUCUAAGUACCCCGAGGAAAAGAAAUCAACCGAGAUUCCCCCAGUAGCGGCGAGCGAACGGGGAGCAGCCCAGAGCCUGAAUCAGUGUGUGUGUUAGUGGAAGCGUCUGGAAAGGCGCGCGAUACAGGGUGACAGCCCCGUACACAAAAAUGCACAUGCUGUGAGCUCGAUGAGUAGGGCGGGACACGUGGUAUCCUGUCUGAAUAUGGGGGGACCAUCCUCCAAGGCUAAAUACUCCUGACUGACCGAUAGUGAACCAGUACCGUGAGGGAAAGGCGAAAAGAACCCCGGCGAGGGGAGUGAAAAAGAACCUGAAACCGUGUACGUACAAGCAGUGGGAGCACGCUUAGGCGUGUGACUGCGUACCUUUUGUAUAAUGGGUCAGCGACUUAUAUUCUGUAGCAAGGUUAACCGAAUAGGGGAGCCGAAGGGAAACCGAGUCUUAACUGGGCGUUAAGUUGCAGGGUAUAGACCCGAAACCCGGUGAUCUAGCCAUGGGCAGGUUGAAGGUUGGGUAACACUAACUGGAGGACCGAACCGACUAAUGUUGAAAAAUUAGCGGAUGACUUGUGGCUGGGGGUGAAAGGCCAAUCAAACCGGGAGAUAGCUGGUUCUCCCCGAAAGCUAUUUAGGUAGCGCCUCGUGAAUUCAUCUCCGGGGGUAGAGCACUGUUUCGGCAAGGGGGUCAUCCCGACUUACCAACCCGAUGCAAACUGCGAAUACCGGAGAAUGUUAUCACGGGAGACACACGGCGGGUGCUAACGUCCGUCGUGAAGAGGGAAACAACCCAGACCGCCAGCUAAGGUCCCAAAGUCAUGGUUAAGUGGGAAACGAUGUGGGAAGGCCCAGACAGCCAGGAUGUUGGCUUAGAAGCAGCCAUCAUUUAAAGAAAGCGUAAUAGCUCACUGGUCGAGUCGGCCUGCGCGGAAGAUGUAACGGGGCUAAACCAUGCACCGAAGCUGCGGCAGCGACACUAUGUGUUGUUGGGUAGGGGAGCGUUCUGUAAGCCUGUGAAGGUGUGCUGUGAGGCAUGCUGGAGGUAUCAGAAGUGCGAAUGCUGACAUAAGUAACGAUAAAGCGGGUGAAAAGCCCGCUCGCCGGAAGACCAAGGGUUCCUGUCCAACGUUAAUCGGGGCAGGGUGAGUCGACCCCUAAGGCGAGGCCGAAAGGCGUAGUCGAUGGGAAACAGGUUAAUAUUCCUGUACUUGGUGUUACUGCGAAGGGGGGACGGAGAAGGCUAUGUUGGCCGGGCGACGGUUGUCCCGGUUUAAGCGUGUAGGCUGGUUUUCCAGGCAAAUCCGGAAAAUCAAGGCUGAGGCGUGAUGACGAGGCACUACGGUGCUGAAGCAACAAAUGCCCUGCUUCCAGGAAAAGCCUCUAAGCAUCAGGUAACAUCAAAUCGUACCCCAAACCGACACAGGUGGUCAGGUAGAGAAUACCAAGGCGCUUGAGAGAACUCGGGUGAAGGAACUAGGCAAAAUGGUGCCGUAACUUCGGGAGAAGGCACGCUGAUAUGUAGGUGAAGUCCCUUGCGGAUGGAGCUGAAAUCAGUCGAAGAUACCAGCUGGCUGCAACUGUUUAUUAAAAACACAGCACUGUGCAAACACGAAAGUGGACGUAUACGGUGUGACGCCUGCCCGGUGCCGGAAGGUUAAUUGAUGGGGUUAGCCGCAAGGCGAAGCUCUUGAUCGAAGCCCCGGUAAACGGCGGCCGUAACUAUAACGGUCCUAAGGUAGCGAAAUUCCUUGUCGGGUAAGUUCCGACCUGCACGAAUGGCGUAAUGAUGGCCAGGCUGUCUCCACCCGAGACUCAGUGAAAUUGAACUCGCUGUGAAGAUGCAGUGUACCCGCGGCAAGACGGAAAGACCCCGUGAACCUUUACUAUAGCUUGACACUGAACAUUGAGCCUUGAUGUGUAGGAUAGGUGGGAGGCUUUGAAGUGUGGACGCCAGUCUGCAUGGAGCCGACCUUGAAAUACCACCCUUUAAUGUUUGAUGUUCUAACGUUGACCCGUAAUCCGGGUUGCGGACAGUGUCUGGUGGGUAGUUUGACUGGGGCGGUCUCCUCCUAAAGAGUAACGGAGGAGCACGAAGGUUGGCUAAUCCUGGUCGGACAUCAGGAGGUUAGUGCAAUGGCAUAAGCCAGCUUGACUGCGAGCGUGACGGCGCGAGCAGGUGCGAAAGCAGGUCAUAGUGAUCCGGUGGUUCUGAAUGGAAGGGCCAUCGCUCAACGGAUAAAAGGUACUCCGGGGAUAACAGGCUGAUACCGCCCAAGAGUUCAUAUCGACGGCGGUGUUUGGCACCUCGAUGUCGGCUCAUCACAUCCUGGGGCUGAAGUAGGUCCCAAGGGUAUGGCUGUUCGCCAUUUAAAGUGGUACGCGAGCUGGGUUUAGAACGUCGUGAGACAGUUCGGUCCCUAUCUGCCGUGGGCGCUGGAGAACUGAGGGGGGCUGCUCCUAGUACGAGAGGACCGGAGUGGACGCAUCACUGGUGUUCGGGUUGUCAUGCCAAUGGCACUGCCCGGUAGCUAAAUGCGGAAGAGAUAAGUGCUGAAAGCAUCUAAGCACGAAACUUGCCCCGAGAUGAGUUCUCCCUGACUCCUUGAGAGUCCUGAAGGAACGUUGAAGACGACGACGUUGAUAGGCCGGGUGUGUAAGCGCAGCGAUGCGUUGAGCUAACCGGUACUAAUGAACCGUGAGGCUUAACCU